GGACACAGAGCUCUGGGAGGAACCUUGACCAUGGCCUGGAUCUCUCUGCUGUUCUCACUCCUCACUGUCUACACAGGUUCUGGGGCCUCUUAUGUGCUGACUCAGUCACGUUCAGUGUCCAAAAGCCUGGGAGAGAUGGCUUCCAUCUCCUGUGUUGGGGAGAGGUUUAAUAGUAAAUAUGUAUACUGGUUCCAGCAGAGAUCUGGCCAGGCCCCUGUCCUGGUGAUUUACGAGGAGAGCAAGAGGGCCUCGGGGAUCCCUGACAGAUUCUCUGGCUCCAAGUCAGGGAACAGAGCCACCCUGAGCAUCUCUGGGCUCCAUGCUGAGGAUGAGGCUGAUUAUUACUGUCUGCUGUGGGAUAAUGAUGCUGAUGCUCACAGUGACACAGACUGA